AAGAACAAUCUGAUCAUGGAUUCUUACUUGUCACCAUCCGACCUGGCCAGAACCUGACACUGCGGAAGGCAUCUGUAAUGCGGGAAGAACUUCAGUUGACCACAUUCGAACAAGACAAAGAAACUAUUUAUUACAUGAAUGGAAGCGUAGUAGAGCAAGACAUUUACUGCGAUCCUCAAGCACUGACAAGCGUCAGCCUUACCCGCUCCAAGGGACUUCGACUGGUUGGAAUUCUGAGUCCUACAGAGCGAAUAGAACCGUCACCUUUUGAACAAGACAAGACAGAUCGUCUCGUGAAG